rnacentral:SRP_RNA from 1 species
CCUGCAUAAUUAUUUUUCGAAAUGGAUUCGUCGUCUAUGCAAGUGGAGAACCCUGU